UACGUAGGGUGCAAGCGUUGUCCGGAAUUAUUGGGCGUAAAGAGCUCGUAGGCGGUCUGUCGCGUCGGAUGUGAAAACCCAGGGCUCAACCCUGGGCCUGCAUUCGAUACGGGCAGACUAGAGUUCGGUAGGGGAGACUGGAAUUCCUGGUGUAGCGGUGAAAUGCGCAGAUAUCAGGAGGAACACCAAUAGCGAAGGCAGCUUGCUGGGACGGUACUGACGCUAAGGCGCGAAAGCGUGGGGAGCGAACAGG
rnacentral:rRNA from 1 species